UGAAGGGUAUGUUUCUCAAAACAUAGAAGAUUUGUGGAAGAUUGGAAGAAUAUUAUUACGAAAACUAGGUAGGUUACAGGAUACUAGUUUAUGCACAUGUCCCAUUUGCUGUAUUGCAAAAGAGAAGAGAAGUCAUUGAAAAAUCAAUCUUUCUGAAUUUAUUGAAGAUUUUGCUAAUACGCAGAAGCCCUCAGAUGUAAAUAACGCAUCUUUUUGCACAUAUUGCUGCCAAAAGGUAGGUAAAGGUAUCAGACACUCUUGCACAAAAUCUGAAAUAGUGCAAAAUCUACAUAAGCUCAUUCUUUCUCAAGACUCAAAAAUCUCCCAACAAGUUAUUUCCUCUGUACUAAAAGAUAUGUAUAAAACAUCUGAAAAUAACGAACUAACUGUAGCAACAGGUGGUAAAGCCCUUCAUGUUGCUCUCUACUCUGGAGAUGUGCAUAAACCUAUUUUAGAAAUAUCUUCAGAUAAAUUAUUUGAUAUAAAAAAAGAAAAUGGAUCUUCCCAUGUCAGCAAUAGAUUGUAUAAUGACUGAGAUACGUAAAGAUUUGGGUCGUGGAGGUAUUGAAUCUAAUGCCUCAAAAAUUAUUAAGGAUAAUUCUUUCCAGUUAAAUCAAUUUUAUAAAAACGUUUUAUGCAGCUUUCAACAAACACACAACAAUGGAAAC